GAAUCGGGAGAGACCGCGAGGCUCAGAAUCAAGCAUUUUGGGCGGGCGGCGCCGAAGGGGCAAGCAAAAACUCUCAGGCAAAAGGACCGGUU
rnacentral:ncRNA from 1 species